rnacentral:rRNA from 1 species
UUAGUUGCCAUCANGUAAUGCUGGGAACUCUAAGGAGACNGCCUGUGAUAAGCCGGAGGAAGGUGGGGAUGACGUCAAGUCCUCAUGGCCCUUACGUCCUGGGCUGCANACGUGCUACAAUGGCNGGUACAAAGGGCUGCAAUACCGCGAGGUGGAGCCAAUCCCAAAAAACCGGUCUCAGUUCGGAUUGGAGUCUGCAACUCGACUCCAUGAAUNUGGAAUUGCUAGUAAUCNCGGAUCAACAUGCCNCGGUGAAUACGUUCCCGGGUCUUGUACACA